CAUACCAGAUCAUGUGAUGGUUCCGCCCGACUGAAGAACGGCGGAUGAAAAGGGAACACGGUGAGGACGACCCAUCAGGGGCUAAAACCGUGGCUGCCCCCGCAACUGUGAGCGGCGAGCAAAGUCCAAGGAUGCCAUUGGCCAUGAAUCGGCUGAUAAGGCGGACAAAGCUACGACCCGCAAGCCAGGAGACCUGCCAUCACCUUGGGCGACACG
rnacentral:ncRNA from 17 species